rnacentral:rRNA from 1 species
GAUGAACGCUGGCGGCGUGCUUAACACAUGCAAGUCGAGCGAAGCACUUGUUUGGAAUCCUUCGGGAGGAAGAACAAUUGACUGAGCGGCGGACGGGUGAGUAACGCGUGGGGAACCUGCCUUAUACCGGGGGAUAACAGCUGGAAACGGCUGCUAAUACCGCAUAAGCGCACGGCACCGCAUGGUGCAGUGUGAAAAACUCCGGUGGUAUAAGAUGGACCCGCGUUAGAUUAGCUUGUUGGCGGGGUAACGGCCCACCAAGGCGACGAUCUAUAGCCGGCCUGAGAGGGCGACCGGCCACAUUGGGACUGAGACACGGCCCAA